rnacentral:rRNA from 1 species
GAUGAACGCUGGCGGCGUGCCUAAUACAUGCAAGUCGAGCGAACGGACGAGAAGCUUGCCUCUCUGAUGUUAGCGGCGGACGGGUGAGUAACACGUGGAUAACCUACCUAUAAGACUGGGAUAACUUCGGGAAACCGGAUCUAAUACCGGAUAAUAUUUUGAACCUCAUGGUUCAACAGUGAAAGACGGUCUUGCUGUCCCUUAUAGAUGGAUCCGCGCUGCAUUAGCUAGUUGGUAAGGUAACGGCUUACCAAGGCAACGAUGCAUAGCCGACCUGAGAGGGUGAUCGGCCACACUGGAACUGAGACACGGUCCAGACUCCUACGGGAGGCAGCAGUAGGGAAUCUUGCGCAAUGGGCGAAAGCCUGACGGAGCAACGCCGCGUGAGUGAUGAAGGUCUUCGGAUCGUAAAACUCUGUUAGUAGGGAAGAACAUAUGUGUAAGUAACUGUGCACAUCUUGACGUUACCUACUCAGAAAGCCACGGCUAACUACGUG